UCCUUCGACCUCUUCCAAUGUAGAAGGGGAGUCUUCUGGCCCUACUGUUAGAACGCUCUCUCGAGGAGCUCAACUCUUUAUCCAAUCGCUGGAAAAAAAUCAUUCCACCUGAGAGAAUCCUGGUCUAGCCAAAGUCAUGGGCGCUUCCAUCUGCUUCCAAGAAGAUCGGAACCGAUUGACUGAAGAGAGUAUUGAUGAUAUUUUAACUCAAACAAUGAGU
rnacentral:misc_RNA from 1 species